GAACUGAAGAGUUUGAUCAUGGCUCAGAUUGAACGCUGGCGGCAUGCUUAAUACAUGCAAGUCGAACGGUAACAGGUUCUUCGGAAUGCUGACGAGUGGCGGACGGGUGAGUAAAGCAUAGGAAUCUGCCCAUGUAGUGGGGGAUAACUUGGGGAAACUCAAGCUAAUACCGCAUAAUUCCCACGGGAUAAAGAGGGCCUCUACUUGUAAGCUCUUGCUAUUGGAUGAGCCUAUGUCGGAUUAGUUAGUUGGUGAGGUAAUGGCUCACCAAGACAGCGAUCCGUAGCUGGUUUGAGAGGAUGAUCAGCCACACUGGGACUGAGACACGGCCCAGACUCCUACGGGAGGCAGCAGUAGGGAGUAUUGGACAAUGGGCGCAAGCCUGAUCCAGCAAUGCCGCGUGUGUGAAGAAGGCCUGCGGGUUGUAAAGCACUUUCAAUUGGGAAGAAAGAUUUAGAGUUAAUAUCUCUUAAAUAUUGACGUUACCAAUAGAAGAAGCACCGGCUAACUCUGUGCCAGCAGCCGCGGUAAUACAGAGGGUGCGAGCGUUAAUCG
rnacentral:rRNA from 1 species